rnacentral:rRNA from 1 species
UACGUAGGGCGCAAGCGUUGUCCGGAAUUAUUGGGCGUAAAGAGCUCGUAGGCGGCUUGUCACGUCGAUUGUGAAAGCCCGAGGCUUAACCUCGGGUCUGCAGUCGAUACGGGCUAGCUAGAGUGUGGUAGGGGAGAUCGGAAUUCCUGGUGUAGCGGUGAAAUGCGCAGAUAUCAGGAGGAACACCGGUGGCGAAGGCGGAUCUCUGGGCCAUUACUGACGCUGAGACGCGAAAGCGUGGGGAGCAAACAGG